GGAACCUGAAGUUUCUAUGUUUCUUAAAAUAAGGGCAACCUUUACUUUUCUACAUAAUGUUAAAUGUAUUUUUGACAUCUGACAUGAAUUUUGCAGUGAUAUAUGUAACAUUUUUCCUGUGUUAUGAAAGUAAGCUGUGUUACAAGUACCCAGUUUUAAAGUACAUAUACAGGUCAGGGUCUGCUUUUUACCUGCCUUGAUUAAAACCCAACAAAUACACAGGAUGAGUUGUAUUCGAAGCCAAUUAACAUGGAAUACUGAAGGCGAGUAGGAUCUCUGCAGUACUCUUCUCUGUGAGUUCUGUGAACUGUGUGUGUGUGCAAGGAAUAAAUUUCAAACGAGGUUCCUGCCUUCAAAGAAUUUACAAUUGAACGAAAAAGACAAGUGCAACAAAAAAUGAAAUUAAAAAUAUUUCAAGAUGAUAUAUUUCAGGCAAAUGCUUAUAUGUAUAGUACAGAUAGACCCUACUGAAGAACAUUAAAAGAGUUAGUGAGAACUGAAAUGGAAAAUUUAAUAGUGGGCCUUGAGCUGAGGGCUGCUAGAUAAACAAGAUUCGUAUGGAGGAGUAGACUGUAUUGUAAUUCUCAAAUAUUCACUGCCUGUCCCUGGAGGAGGAUUGUAUUUAACUGGGCUAUUGGUGUAGGGCUUGGUCAUGUGACUUGGUCUGGCCAAUGAAAUGUGUGUCAUUUCCAGGAGGAAACUUUAAGGGUGGUUUGUUAAGAUCUUUUCCUUCUGCUGCACAACUGGCAAUGUUCCAGAUAAAGCCUUCUCAGAAGACUAGAACAAUAGCCAACCCAUAAUGGGCUUGUAGCAAGAAAAGAAAUAAACCUUUUUUGUUUUAAGACAUUGAGACUUUGGGGUCAUUUGUUAUUGCAAUAUAAACUAGUCUAGCCUGACUGGUACAGAUAGAAGCAGGCUUUCAAGGCAGAGGGGAAAAUGAGAAUUAAGCAAUUAGCAUAGUAUUCUUUGAGUUGAAGUGAGGAGACCAGCCUAAUUUUAGAGAGAUUAUUUCUGCAAAAAUAAUGAUAAAUAAAAUUUCAUUGCUAAAGUGAGACUAGAGAUAGAUCUUGAUUAAGUUGACACAGUGAACUGUAUUGAAAAUUUGGUUUGUAAAGGACCAUGAGGGAAAAACAAAGGAUAAAACCGUGACCUCUAAGUGUGCCCUAAGGAGAAGAGUGGUGACAGUUUAUAGAAAGACAUCAAUAGGUUACAAAUAGUAAGACUUUAUAAGUGAAUAUGCUAGAAUUCCCAUCUGGAAGACACUUUUUAAAUAUUAUUAUGGUACUUUGACCAUAGACUGUAAAAUAUCUACUGAAAAUAAAUAAAAUGAUCCUACCUCUGCUAAGUGAUUCAUUGUGUUAUUAAUGGAAAAAAAUGGCAAAUGUAGGUAUAAUACAAAGAUUUGUCUGUUAUAAAAUUUAAAGAGUUAUCAAGGGUAUUAAGAGAUAAUCCUAAUCAAAAUAUGACAGGUACUUGAAUGGCGCUCACCAUCUGGCGAAUCUGUUAGUCUUCAGUGCCAAAUCCUAUUGGCUCUCAGCUGUCAUCCCUGCUUCCUGUGGUUUAUGGUCACUUCUGCUAGUUGUAUGCUCGGAUAGGAAUCACGCCAUCCUCCUCCUUAUAGUCUUUUUGGAUCUAUAGGACGCUGAACUUACAGAUGUGGUAAAAAUUCUGGGUAAUAUAUGUACAACCCUAACUCUGUUUCUCUUCAAUCUGUCAUUUAACUUAGUACACUCCGAAGCUCUAGUCCAGCCCACAUAAGUUCUGAACACAUGCAAAUACAAUUUCCUUUAUGUCCAUAGCAACAUUCCUUAUUAGGAAGAUAUUAUACCCAGGGACUCAUAAUGUUACACUUAAAUCGGCGUCUGCUUCAUCUCACACUAUGCCGUAUUGGCUGUGUCAAAAGUAAAUUAAUUCAAUUCAGAAUUCAAUUCAGUAGCCAGCAGCUAAGUUGCACUGAACUCUGUAAGGAGCAGGAGGAAAUGCCACUCCAAACUUGCACACUGUGUCACCACAGAGCCCUCGUAUCAAACAGCUGAGCAGAUUUUUUCUUGUGUGUGCCUAUGUGCUCUUUCCGCUAUUGAUUCCUUUCUUCUCUGCGUUAGUUUUUCUUUCAAAAACAAGGGGGAAACAAAUCCGCUGAGUUUCUCUGAGGAGGAUACUCUUUUAUUAGUAUUGCGUGUUACACCAGUACAGGUCUCUAUGUUAUAUAUGAGGGUGGGGGUGGGGAAUAGAAAGUAAAGUACAAACUGGCCUUGAGCACCAAAAGAGAAAUGCAAGCACCUGGAGCAUCUGCAGGAUGACUCGGAAAUGUCCCAGUAAAAAGGUCACAUGUCUGAGAGUGGAAACCCUGAUGCUGAUUGGCUGGAGUCCAGUGAGACGCAGAAAUCUUGGCUUGGAAUUCUCCCUUUAGACUUGAGAUUUUGUGUUGUUGUGUGCUUUCUCAGAUUUCUGGCUGCCUGCCACUUAAUAGCAGCCUUUCUUUGUGCUGACCAGCUCAGAGAGUGAAAUGGGUAUUCCUGAUAUUCAGGGAAGUGCAUCUGAGACACCAAAAGCUCUCCAGAGGCUGUGGCAGUGCCCAUAAGUCACCCUUGAGGUGUGUGCAGGGCAGCGAGGGAAGACACCUAAAGGGCCUCCUUCCUUCCCCUCCUGAACCCACAUUCUGUCCCUCUCCUGCCUCUGUUCCAGCAAGUAAAAUCUUAGGGUCACCCUGAAAGUCUGAGGGGUUGUGACAAUAGAGAGAGAGGGAGGGAGAAGUGAAUUUCUGAUCUGUGCAUCCCAGACCUGGUGUUUGAUCUCUCUGUCCUCUGUGGUCAUACAUUGAUUUAUUUCUAUGUAGCGCCUCAUGUGUAGUGUCCAAUAUAAAAGGAAAACAGGACAGCAUUCUCUAGUACCCUUGAUCCUUGGAAAAGAGCAAUGGACUUAGAAUCAGACAAACUUUGGGUUAUAGUCUCUGCCAUAAGUUACCACUCAAUAGCAAUGUGACCUAGUAUAAAUUGUCUACUUUUGAUUGCUUAGUUGUGGAAAUGUUAUCUCCACCAUUUAAAUAAAGGAUUACUGUAAAGAGUAAUUGGCAUGUGGUACAGGUCAGAGAUAUGUAUCGGUGCAGUUCAUAGAGGUGGGACUAUGUAACUGUAUGGGGAGGGCAGGGCAUAAAGUAUAAGCUGAUUUUUAGCAUUACAAGACAAAUGCAAGCUGCUGCACUAGGAACACUGCACAUCGACUGGAUAUUCCCGUGAAACUGUACAGAGUGCCUCUCUGGUGUUGAACACAGGGUAGGUGUUCAUAAAUACUAAUUUUCCUCCUUUCUUUUUCUUUUUCUUAAUAUUCCACCAUAACCUUUUUACUUCCUAAAAGCCACUUUCUUUAGUCAACAUUUCCCUUUCAUUCACCCUAAGGAAAAUAUGGGACAGUUCUCAGUAUGAUAGUUUCCAGCAAACAGUGUUGCCUUUUUUAUAUUAAAAAGCUUCCUCCCUUAAAGAGAGCAGUGAUGACUUUUAGCUUAAUUUUAUAUAUCACCGAACAAAUCUUGACACCCCAAUAUGGAGCUAAAAUCAUGCUGGAAAGUACAUAAAAGAUAGAAUUUUAUUAAGAUCAUGACAAGUGAGUGGGCUGGGGAAAGUGGAGAUAUUGAUGAUAAAACAGUAGAUAUUUCAGUUUUUCAAAAAUUUUGCUUUUCUAAGAAUUAGCAACUAUGGUAUGUAAUAUGAGUAUUUAAAAAUUUUUCUAGUGAACAUUUCAUAGUGUUUCUGCAUGGACGAGAGACAGUAUGAUAUAGAGACAUGGUUUGCAAAAUGUGGUCCCCAGGCUGGCAGUGUCAGCAUCAUCUGGGAACUUACAAAUUUUCUGACCUUACCCCAGAUCAAAGGAAUUAGUAACUCUGUGUAUAGUCCCCAAAUCUUCAUUUUAACAAGGCUUCCAAGUAUUUCUGAUGCAAGAUUGAUAACCACUGAGAAAUAUGGGUAUGGCCCUGACUUAUCUUGGUUAACUCAUUUCAGGGGUCUGUUUCUCCGUUGGAGAAUAAGAACUUUGUACUCAAUAUUCAAGCUGUUGUCAUACUCUGUGAUUCUCUACAUAAUAUGGAUGGUUCAUGAGCAGUGAAGACUUUCCUCAGGGCUCUAGAAUGGUUCUUUGAAUCUGUAGCUCCACUCCUAGAAAAUGUCUGGGCUUUUAGACGUCACUGUAAGUAUCUAUGCCAUGGAUAAAAUCCUGUAUAUACCAGUACUGUAGACUCAAUGGAGUGGCAUAUUUAAGUUUGAUGGAUAUUUACAGAAAUCCUCAUCUGUAGUGUGCUAUGGAAACUUGUGUUCACUCCUGGGAACUCCAUUGUAAUACUUCGGUUUUUGUUUUUGAUUUCAUGCUUUCUGAGUAUUUGGGGGAAAAAUGCUUAGUAUGAUUAUAUUUUUGCAAUUAUAUGAACACAUAUGAGUAAAGCUACUUGAGCCUGGAUAUGUAUACAUAUUUCACACAUCAAAGUAUAUAUCAAUAAGAUAUAAUAUGGAGAAGAUUCCUUAACAAUAUUUAAUAUAAUGUUCUAAACAUACUCAGCUGAUGGGAAGUUAGUCAGUAGCUCUCAGUUCCCUUGUGUCAUAUUUGGGAGUUGUCAUGUUCCCCUCAGUACCCUUACCACAUGCCCAUUCCAUAGCAGGACUUAAAGAUCUGUUUGCAUCAUCCUUUCUUAAUGGAGAGGAUCUUAAAAUAUGGUGUUGAAAAUGAGAGAAUUAAUAAUCCUAAAGAACUUUACACUGCUGGAUAACAUCUGAGUUAGUAACUUUAACUCUAUCUCAUUUUAAUAGAAGCAGUGACCCAGUGGAAGGGGUUUAAAGGAGGACAGACAUUCUAUAAAAUGCAUUCAGAACAAUGGCAUGUGGGGACUAUUUGAAAGCAUCAAGAAAGGUUUAACUUGAAAGAGAAGAUUUCAGAAAGGAGCAUGGAGGCAUGAUGGCUGCCUUCAUCUAAUUGAAGAGCUACCCAGUAAGACGUUUGAUUUGGUUCUGAACCAAGAGUGCAGAACUGGGACAAUAGAAUGACAGUUAUAAGGAGGCUCAUCCUUCCUCAAUACACAGAACUUUCUAACAAAAGGAUCUGCUUUUAAAUGCAAUCAAUGCCUUGUGUUAGAUGUUUCUUCCUGGCUGUAUUCUGGAAAAAGCUUAAGGGAUUCUGUAGAAGAGAUUCUUACAUUGGAUUAUACUAGAUAAUAUCUGUGUUAAUUUGCUAGGGCUGUUAUAAAAAAAUACCACGGAUGGGUGGCUUAAGCACCCGAAAUUUAUUUUCUCACAGUUCUGGAGACUAGAAGUCCAAGAUCAUGGUGUCGGCAGGUUUGAUUUCUUCUGAGGCCUCUCUCCUCAGCUUGUAGAUGGCUGCUUUCUCCCUGUGCCCUCAUGGCCUUUCCUUUGUGUGUGUGCAUGCAUGGUGUCUCUUUGUGUGUCCAGAUUUCUUCUUCUUAUAAGGAUACCAAUCAGUUUGGAUUAUAGCCCACUCCAACAGCCGCAUUUUAGCUUAUUCAUCUCUUUGAAGACCCUAUCUACAAAUACAGUCACAUUCUGAGGUACUGGGGAUUAGGGCUUUAACAUACAAAUUUGGGUUGGGUGGGACACAAUUUAGCCGAUAACAAUAUCUAAGUUAAUUUCUUAUUUCCAAUAGUUCUUCUUGAGGAGAACAGGGGAAAUUCAGACCAUACUGAAGCCUGCUCCCUGGAAGAAGGAAAACAUCUCAACUAAACUGAGGGAUUGAGUGACUCUGCACCCUUCUCUAAAUUAAUUCUCACCACCAAAGGGGGUCUCUUGCCAUCUUUCUGCAAAUGCAGGUUUAGCCAUAAACUGUGCCUUUGGCUUCUGGUUGAAUGUGGAGGAUAAAAUUCAUUGUAAUAUUAAAUAGAUGAGGUGGAAUCAGCUCUCAGCAGAGAGCAGCUGCUGGCUCCAGCAAUGUUGUGACAGGCUCUGGAAAUUAUGCAAUGCAAAUAUAAUCAUCUGACUUCCACCAUCUCUAGGCCUUGACAAGCUCUGCAAAUAGGUUGGGCAAUCUCUUCUCACCUGGGCUCACACACAUUGGCUUGACAAGUGGCUAUCUUCGGGGCCAAAGUGCAAUGUCUCUGGAUCAUUCAAGACUGAAGCUAAAAUCCGAGAAGAGGUUUGGAUGCAGAGUGAUUGAGAGAAAAAAGUCCAGGCAUACAUGUUCAUUUUGCUUUUAUUAAUAUAGUUGAUAUUGAUUUUGCUACUAGCAAUGCUGCCUGCUUUUUGCUUAGAGCAGCAAAAUAAAGUUGGGACACAGACACUUUAGCAUCUACUCUAUUAUUAAGGAGGUUUAAUUUUGCUGAGCUUGUACAUGUGUGAUUUCAUAACAAUAUAUUAGUUUGAAAGACAACGAUUUUUUUUUAUGGCGGGAAGUACUGGAAAAAUGAAUCUUUGGUUUUGUUAGUUUAGAUAGGUCUAGGUUGAAUUGACAUUACUUAAUUGGUAGCUAGAAUAAAGUCUGACCAAGCUGAGCAGAUCAAUGUGGACACCCAUGCAGAGUUUUAGAACAAAUUUAGCCAAUAUCCAUAUAUAUAGGUGUUAAUGAGCAUAUGAGAGAAAUUCCUUAAUUUGGAGGAGAAAGUCUACAUGCUUGAUUUGCUCAUAUACUUGACCAUUUAGGGAAACUAGGUACAAGGCAUGAAGAAGACUGUGGUUUUUGAAAUUACGUAUAAAAGUCAAGUAAAAUAAUCUGUUAUCCAAAUUCCUUUGUCAGUGGAAAUCUAGGCUGUAGAGAUUAUGUACUCUUGCAAUGACAGCAGGCUUCGGUGGAAACUGAUCAUAAAAUCAGACCAAAGUAAUGCCAUAUAGAACCCCUUUUCUUAUGGGAAAAUGAGUUUGAUUAUAUUUUUCUGUGCCUGUGUGUGCUUUUCCUGGGGUUAGAUUCCUUCCAGGGAGGUUAUCUUCUAAAAUGUUAAUAUCUCAGGAGACAAGGAGAAGAAUAAAAAUAAAAUCAGGUGGUUUACAAAAGGAAGGGUAUCAACUCCCUUUACAACCAUCUUCUCUGAUUCAAAGUGAGUUUGUAAACAGCAUCAGAAGUGGAAGGCAGCAUUUUCUAUAUUUCCUCCAUGUUGGAAAGAAUCCUCGACACUCUAACUACCUGACAAGUAAGCCAUUCUGAUGAAGAUGAAUAUGCUACCUUCUGCUCGUAUGUUAGUGGUAAAAGUGUGUUGGUUCAAUAUGUACAUUCUCCCAAGUAAAAUAUGUGUAGUUUUGUAAAUAGCCUUUUGAUGACACAGCUUUCUCCUCCCUCCAACCCACUAUAUGGACACAUACUCACAAAAUGGUUGUCUUAAACAUGGAACAAUUUUAAUAGGCAAUUCCAAGAGUGAAAAACUCACACACGCUAGUUAUCUGAGUUUAGGAUCCUUAGGGCUACCCCAUGGAAGUGAAUAUUCAUUUCUGCUUGUAAGCCCUCUGUACUGAUGGAUAUUCGACUAUGAGCAGUGUAGGUUGCAUUCUAUAGCUUCUUUUGUAAACUUGUUUGGAAUUUGAAAUAAAUUUCCACAUAAAUACUGAAUUUUCAGUCAACAAGAGCUGUAUCUAAGCUUAAUAAUACUAAAUUCAAAAUUUGUCCAUGUCUUCAUUCUGGGCCAGUCUUUUAGCCCCGCUGUCUUUUUUGCCCCAAUCUCUCUAAGAAUUGUAUUUCCAU
rnacentral:lncRNA from 1 species